GCUCUGUGGGAUCAGUGGCGAACGGGUGAGUAACACGUGAGCAACCUGCCCCUGACUCUGGGAUAAGCGCUGGAAACGGCGUCUAAUACUGGAUAUGUGACGUGACCGCAUGGUCUGCGUUUGGAAAGAUUUUUCGGUUGGGGAUGGGCUCGCGGCCUAUCAGCUUGUUGGUGAGGUAAUGGCUCACCAAGGCGUCGACGGGUAGCCGGCCUGAGAGGGUGACCGGCCACACUGGGACUGAGACACGGCCCAGACUCCUACGGGAGGCAGCAGUGGGGAAUAUUGCACAAUGGGCGCAAGCCUGAUGCAGCAACGCCGCGUGAGGGAUGACGGCCUUCGGGUUGUAAACCUCUUUUAGCAGGGAAGAAGCGAAAGUGACGGUACCUGCAGAAAAAGCGCCGGCUAACUACGUGCCAGCAGCCGCGGUAAUACGUAGGGCGCAAGCGUUAUCCGGAAUUAUUGGGCGUAAAGAGCUCGUAGGCGGUUUGUCGCGUCUGCUGUGAAAUCCCGAGGCUCAACCUCGGGCCUGCAGUGGGUACGGGCAGACUAGAGUGCGGUAGGGGAGAUUGGAAUUCCUGGUGUAGCGGUGGAAUGCGCAGAUAUCAGGAGGAACACCGAUGGCGAAGGCAGAUCUCUGGGCCGUAACUGACGCUGAGGAGCGAAAGGGUGGGGAGCAAACAGGCUUAGAUACCCUGGUAGUCCACCCCGUAAACGUUGGGAACUAGUUGUGGGGUCCAUUCCACGGAUUCCGUGACGCAGCUAACGCAUUAAGUUCCCCGCCUGGGGAGUACGGCCGCAAGGCUAAAACUCAAAGGAAUUGACGGGGACCCGCACAAGCGGCGGAGCAUGCGGAUUAAUUCGAUGCAACGCGAAGAACCUUACCAAGGCUUGACAUAUACGAGAACGGGCCAGAAAUGGUCAACUCUUUGGACACUCGUAAACAGGUGGUGCAUGGUUGUCGUCAGCUCGUGUCGUGAGAUGUUGGGUUAAGUCCCGCAACGAGCGCAACCCUCGUUCUAUGUUGCCAGCACGUAAUGGUGGGAACUCAUGGGAUACUGCCGGGGUCAACUCGGAGGAAGGUGGGGAUGACGUCAAAUCAUCAUGCCCCUUAUGUCUUGGGCUUCACGCAUGCUACAAUGGCCGGUACAAAGGGCUGCAAUACCGUGAGGUGGAGCGAAUCCCAAAAAGCCGGUCCCAGUUCGGAUUGAGGUCUGCAACUCGACCUCAUGAAGUCGGAGUCGCUAGUAAUCGCAGAUCAGCAACGCUGCGGUGAAUACGUUCCCGGGUCUUGUACACACCGCCCGUCAAGUCAUGAAAGUCGGUAACACCUGAAGCCGGUGGCCUAACCCUUGUGGAGGGAGCCGUCGAAGG
rnacentral:rRNA from 1 species